GAGGAGCUUGCUCCUCUGACGUUAGCGGCGGACGGGUGAGUAACACGUGGAUAACCUACCUAUAAGACUGGGAUAACUUCGGGAAACCGGAGCUAAUACCGGAUAAUAUAUUGAACCGCAUGGUUCAAUAGUGAAAGACGGUUUUGCUGUCACUUAUAGAUGGAUCCGCGCCGCAUUAGCUAGUUGGUAAGGUAACGGCUUACCAAGGCAACGAUGCGUAGCCGACCUGAGAGGGUGAUCGGCCACACUGGAACUGAGACACGGUCCAGACUCCUACGGGAGGCAGCAGUAGGGAAUCUUCCGCAAUGGGCGAAAGCCUGACGGAGCAACGCCGCGUGAGUGAUGAAGGUCUUCGGAUCGUAAAACUCUGUUAUUAGGGAAGAACAAAUGUGUAAGUAACUAUGCACGUCUUGACGGUACCUAAUCAGAAAGCCACGGCUAACUACGUGCCAGCAGCCGCGGUAAUACGUAGGUGGCAAGCGUUAUCCGGAAUUAUUGGGCGUAAAGCGCGCGUAGGCGGUUUUUUAAGUCUGAUGUGAAAGCCCACGGCUCAACCGUGGAGGGUCAUUGGAAACUGGAAAACUUGAGUGCAGAAGAGGAAAGUGGAAUUCCAUGUGUAGCGGUGAAAUGCGCAGAGAUAUGGAGGAACACCAGUGGCGAAGGCGACUUUCUGGU
rnacentral:rRNA from 1 species